rnacentral:rRNA from 1 species
GAGUUAAAUGAUCUAAUUUAUGAGUUAAGCGUUAUGCAGUUGACUUUGCCCAAUAGACCAAUGCCUGCUAUGGAGAUUUUUUAGUUUGCCAGAGAAGCAGAUUGUCAUCCUAAUAUUUUUAUUACCUAUUAGAUUUUACUUACAAUGACUGUGGCAUCAGCUGAAAGAAGCUUCUCAAAGUUGAAAGUGUUGAAAUAAUACCUGAGAUCUGCAAUGUCACAAGAGAGGUUGAUAUUGAUAAGAAAUUGUUGGAUGAGAUUGAUAUUGAUACUAUCAUUAGUGAUUUUGCAUCUCAGAAUGUAG